GACGAACGCUGGCGGCGUGCUUAACACAUGCAAGUCGAACGGAAAGGCCCUGCUUUUGUGGGGUGCUCGAGUGGCGAACGGGUGAGUAACACGUGAGUAACCUGCCCUUGACUUUGGGAUAACUUCAGGAAACUGGGGCUAAUACCGGAUAGGAGCUCCUGCUGCAUGGUGGGGGUUGGAAAGUUUCGGCGGUUGGGGAUGGACUCGCGGCUUAUCAGCUUGUUGGUGGGGUAGUGGCUUACCAAGGCUUUGACGGGUAGCCGGCCUGAGAGGGUGACCGGCCACAUUGGUACUGAGAUACGGCCCAGACUCCUACGGGAGGCAGCAGUGGGGAAUAUUGCACAAUGAGCGGAAGCCUGAUGCAGCAACGCCGCGUGCGGGAUGACGGCCUUCGGGUUGUAAACCGCUUUCGCCUGUGACGAAGCGUGAGUGACGGUAAUGGGUAAAGAAGCACCGGCUAACUACGUG
rnacentral:rRNA from 1 species